rnacentral:rRNA from 1 species
AAGGAAUAUUGGUCAAUGGUGGAAACACUGAACCAGCCAUGCCGCGUGGAGGAAUAAGGUCCUACGGAUUGUAAACUCCUUUUGACGAGGAAGAAAGUGUUAGAUUUAUCUAAUUUUGACGGUACUCGUAGAAUAAGCACCGGCUAACUCCGUGCCAGCAGCCGCGGUAAUACGGAGGGUGCAAGCGUUAUCCGGAUUUACUGGGUUUAAAGGGUCCGCAGGUGGGGAGGUAAGUCAGUGGUGAAAUACCCGGGCUCAACUUGGGUGCUGCCAUUGAUACUGCUUUUCUUGAGUGUAGAUGAGGUGGGCGGAAUACAGCAUGUAGCGGUGAAAUGCGUAGAUAUGCUGUAGAACACCGAUUGCGAAGGCAGCUCACUAAACUACUACUGACACUCAGGGACGAAAGCGUGGGGAUCAAAC